AAUAUUUUGAGAAAAAAAAAAAAAGUUAAAAUUACGGGAAUAAAGUCCUAGCAAUAAAAGAAUAAAGUCGGAAUAUUUUGAAAAAAAAAAUAAAAAUUACGGG